rnacentral:rRNA from 1 species
GCGCAAGACAACAUCUAUUUCUGUGGCAAGAGGGAUAUUUACUUUUUAACCGUUCUACUAGCUAGAAUAGAAUACCACACCUAUCAAUACCAAGUAUGUCUCACCGGCGAUUCUCU